CAGAUCUUCAUCUCAGCUCAGGUACCCUAUGGAAUACGAGCAGGAUGACCAACCCUUGGUCUGCAGACUUCCAGCUGGGAAACACACAAAAGCCGCAGUUGACCUGACAAAUAGCCAAGGGGCUGGAACUGGGUUUCCCCUGGGAUGCUCACCCACCUCUUAGUCCCCACCUCCCCAGCCCACCCUGAUGAAACCAGCUUCACCAAACAUCUGUUUCCUGCCACUAUGGAGCAAGCACUCCUCUUUCUGUCCUGGUGAGUCGGCAUCAAGGACUUUCAUCACGAAGAUCAAGUGGAGGUGCACUGUGACCAGGGACAGCUUCCCUGUUCCAAAAUGAUACUGGGAGAUGGCGUUCAAUUAAGAAGCUGAGUUACUCUUUCUGUGUGAGCCUUUGAAGAUGCCAGGCUCAAGAUGCGAUGUGAAGUCUUUAAAAGAAAGGGAAGCCGGCUUCUCCGGGGCACCUGCAUCUGCUUCUCCAGGGCCACAUCAGCCUCUCUUCAGAUGCUCUCAGCUGCCUGCCUACUGACUCCUUGGGAAUCCCUGGAAGUAUCUGCAACGGAGACCAGUCUUCCGGGUGGACUUUGCAUCAGUUGCUGGCCUUCUUCUCAACCCCGAGGACCCAGAGUUACAGGAAAGCUCCCCACAUCUAUAAUUCCACCAGUCAUCUCCCUGCAGGAAAGCUUUAGAUCUAUGGAGUGGCUGGCAAGAGCAAAGAUGUGAGAGCAGGAAAGUGAAGAGCAGGCGUGGAGACGAGGAGGAGGAUACAAUUUGAAGGGCAAUCUGGGUAUAAGCAGAAACAGAGGCAGGAGAUGUUGGGGAAACUGCCUGCCAGGCCAUUGAGGGUGGUGAGGAUGGCCGGGGACUGAUGGAUGGAUCAAUGGGAUGCCAUUGACCCUGUGGACAGUGGAGAGAAGUUGCAGGAUCUCGAGUCUGAGGGUGGUCUGUCCAGCCUGGCGGAAGCGUGCAGGGUGGACCAUGACGUGGCAACAAGGAUAUAGACACAGAGGUGAGAAGGGAGUGGAGAUCAGGACCCAGGUUGCUCGUGGAGGCCACAGGCGCAGGCAGCAGGGGAGAGAGGUGGGUUCCCAGGGAGGAAGGCAUGAAGGGGUGAUGUGGCUCACUGUCCUUUGGGAGCGGAGGGAGAGACGGGAGUCUGAGGUGACUCCCACUCUCCAGCUAGAGAGUCUGAAUAAAAGGAAAGGCGGUAAUGGGGGAGGGGCUGGCUUUUCAGGGGAAUCGGCAGGAAAUGUAGAAUGCACACUGCGGUGUGUGGAAUAGGCAAUGAGGAAUCUGGAGUGGGAGAUGGGUCUUGAGAAGGUUUCCCUGCAAAUCUAGGGAUGACGCAGCAAUAUCAGAUGCUCCCUGGGGAAGGCUCAGUGCAAGGGCACACCCAUCCCCACCUCCCAGACCCUUCUUGUUGUCCCACCACUAAGUCAUGUCCCACCCCUAAGUCACAAGACUGCCCUGAUGUCCUCAUAUCACAUCAUCAUUUAAUUAUUUCACGCCUAGAUCAUAGGUGUCAUGUAAUAACAUUGUGGCAGCCAACAGCAAUUGAACAGUAAAAAGGUUAAUUGCAUUUAUUAAAAAAAACAACACAAAACUCUGCCAAAGGAAGGUACUCCAACCAUUGGGCAGACUAGUUGAAAGCUAAUGUUGUGACUAAAUUGAAUUUCAAAUGAAUUUUACAUCCAUAGUUCAUUUUGCUAAUUUGAUUCUCUGCAUCCUGUAAUUUGUUGACAGUGAUUGAUUACUUAAGUGAAUAAUAUCUGUGUAUGGGGAUCAUUUAGUAAUAGAAAAUGCCAUGCAUGAUCAUCACAUUAAUGAUUAUUGUGUGCUUGAAUUGUCAUCACCUACUUAGUCCAUUGAAGGUAUUGGGAAAUCAGAGCCACCCCCCAAAUUCAA